rnacentral:rRNA from 1 species
GCAGCCUGCAUCCAGCGAUGCCGCGUGCAAGAUGAAGGCCUUCGGGUUGUAAACUGCUUUUGUCACGGAAGAAAUCCUUUGGGCUAAUACCUCGGAAGGAUGACGGUACCUGAACAAUAAGCACCGGCUAACUACGUGCCAGCAGCCGCGGUAAUACUUACGGUGCGAGCGUUAAUCGGAAUUACUGGGCGUAAAGCGUGCGCAGGCGGCUUUGCAAGACAGAGGUGAAAUCCCCGGGCUCAACCUGGGAACUGCCUUUGUGACUGCAAGGCUAGAGUACGGCAGAGGGGGAUGGAAUUCCGCGUGUAGCAGUGAAAUGCGUAGAUAUGCGGAGGAACACCGAUGGCGAAGGCAAUCCCCUGGGCCUGUACUGACGCUCAUGCACGAAAGCGUGGGGAGCAAACAGGAUUAGAUACCCUGGUAGUCCACGCCCUAAACGAUGUCAACUGGUUGUUGGACGGCUUGCUGUUCAGUAACGAAGCUAACGCGUGAAGUUGACCGCCUGGGGAGUACGGCCGCAAGGUUGAAACUCAAAG